rnacentral:rRNA from 1 species
CUGACUGCUAUCGGAUUGAUACUAAGCCAUGCGAGUCUUUGUAGUAAUACAAGGCAGACGGCUCAGUAACACGUAGUCAACCUACCCUAUGGACAAGAAUAAUCUCGGGAAACUGGGCAUAAUUCUUGAUAGAUCAUAAUGCCUGGAAUGGUUUAUGGUUAAAAUGAUUCGUCGCCAUAGGAUGGGACUGCGGCCUAUCAGCUUGUUGGUGAGGUAAUGGCCCACCAAGGCGAUUACAGGUACGGGCUCUGAGAGGAGAAGCCCGGAGAUGGGUACUGAGACACGGACCCAGGCCCUGUGGGGCGCAGCAGGCGAGAAAACUUUGCAAUGUGCGAAAGCACGACAAGGUUAAUCCGAGUGAUUUCUGCUAAAGAAAUCUUUUGCCAGUCAUAAAACCACUGGUGAAUAAGGGGUGGGCAAGUUCUGGUGUCAGCCGCCGCGGUAAAACCAGCACCUCAAGUGGUCAGGAUGAUUAUUGGGCCUAAAGCAUCCGUAGCCGGCUUUGUAAGUUUUCGGUUAAAUCCAUGUGCUCAACGCAUGGGCUGCCGAAAAUACUGCAUAGCUAGGGAGUGGGAGAGGUAGACGGUACUCAGUAGGAAGGGGUAAAAUCCUUUGAUCUAUUGAUGACCACCUGUGGCGAAGGCGGUCUACCAGAACACGUUCGACGGUGAGGGAUGAAAGCUGGGGGAGCAAACCGGAUUAGAUACCCGGGUAGUCCCAGCUGUAAACGAUGCAGACUCGAUGAUGCAUUGGCAUAAUAGCCAGUGCAGUGUCGCAGGGAAGCCGUUAAGUCUGCCGCCUGGGAAGUACGUACGCAAGUAUGAAACUUAAAGGAAUUGGCGGGGAGCACCACAAGGGUGAAGCCUGCGGUUCA